rnacentral:rRNA from 1 species
CCGCCCGUCACAUCACGAAAGCAGGCUGUACUAGAAGUCGCCAAGCUAACCCGCAAGGGAGGCAGGUGCCUAAGGUAUGGUCAGUGAUUGGGUG